AUGGCACAACACUUGUUAGGGCAUAACACGCCCAAAAGCACAAGCACCACAUAUGUGGCAACCGCCACCAGCAUAAAACUUUAUUCUUGUUACUACGAACACAACACUACGACAGUACUUCCCUUAACCAGUCUACAUCGAGCACAAAUGAACAUGGUGGCGGUGGUGCUAGACAUGCAAGAUCAGUGCAUGCAUGACACUCUUCUAAUAAGAACUCCCCAUGGUGAAGUUGAAGUUGCUGCAUGUAGUGCGGAUUCCGAGGAGCAGCCCACUGAACGCGAACGUCUCCUUCACCAGAUCGAACAUCAGCAGGUUGUUCUCCAUCUGGUGCCCCCCGAGGAUAACCGCCGGCGAGUCGAUCGCCGCCGGCAUGGACGACGAAAUCUGGACGAACGCGAAGCACACUGUCUGCUCGUUCACCUGCACGAGCGAGCUGGCACCGGGCAGCGUCCAGUUCCGGCCUCCGUCCAGCAUCAGCUCGAUGCUGGCCACGGCGUAGCCCACCCGGGUCACCGUGAGCGCGGACGCCUGGUAGCACAAGUCGAACUGCGCCACCUUGUCCGCGCGCGCGAUACCACUCGUGGCCACGUCGAACGCGUUGCGGAGCGGCCAGUAGAUGUCCCAGCGGAGCGCCGUGUAGGGCGUGACGGUGCUGAAGACGGCGCCGCCCGUGCCGCUGCCGGCGUCGAGGUCGAAGACGCCGUCUGGCGUCGGCACGCGCUGCUGGUUCACGGCGACGCCGGUGAUGCCGAAGUAGUAGCCGCCGUUGUAGGGGUGCUUGAGGAGAGGGAGCGGGUUCUCGCGAAGCCGCUCGGCGAGCUCCACGGGCGGCGCGGCCAGGAGCUGGAACGGGCCGCCACCGAAGACUGCCACGCCGUCGCCGCCGCUGGGCAGGCACAGGGCGAACUCGUUCGCCACCUUGAGCAAGGACGCGAACUGGGUCGGUAG
rnacentral:rRNA from 1 species